rnacentral:rRNA from 1 species
UACGAAGGGGGCUAGCGUUGCUCGGAAUCACUGGGCGUAAAGCGCACGUAGGCGGACUCUUAAGUCGGUGGUGAAAUCCUGGAGCUCAACUCCAGAACUGCCUUUGAUACUGGCGACCUUGAGUUCGGGAGGGGUGAGUGGAACUGCGAGUGUAGAGGUGAAAUUCGUAGAUAUUCGCAAGAACACCAGUGGCGAAGGCGGCUCACUGGCCCGAUACUGACGCUGAGGUGCGAAAGCGUGGGGAGCAAACAGG